rnacentral:rRNA from 1 species
CCGUCAGAUAUUAGUCAAUGCUCGCAAGAGUGAACUAGCUAACUGAAAUCUUAAAUUUAAUUUAAGAUAAGGUAAGAGAAAAUAAUGAUAUUAUCUUACUAUUAGUGUCGUCUAAAUUUGGUGCCAGAAGACUCGGUAAGACCUUAGACGCAAACGUUAAUCCGUCAUAAUCAGGCGUAAAGGGUGUGUAGGCGGCUUUUAAAAUAUAAUUCUAUUAUUAUAAAAUUAAUAAUAAAUUCUUAUAGCUAAAUAAAUUAUAUUCUAAUUAAAGCUAGAAUCUAAAAGAGGGUAAGCUAAACAACAUAAUUAACUGGGACUGACAACUUAUAAUAAUGUGGAGUACUAAAGGUUAAAGCUAUUUAUCUACUUAAGAUUGACGCUCAGAAACGAAGGGGAGAAUAAGAAACUUAGAUUAGAGACCUAAUUAUCUCUCUCAGUCAACGAUGAAUGGUAGUUAUUAAAAAUUAAAAUAUAAUAAAAAUAAUUAUAUAUUAUUUUUAUUAUAUAGAUAUUAGUGACGAGGUUAACACGAUGACCAUUCCGCCUUGUUAGUAAGACUGCAAAGUUGAAAACAAAAAAAUUAGUCGGUCUUGAAGCAAACGAAGUGAAGCAUGUUAUUUAAU